rnacentral:lncRNA from 1 species
GAAAAAUCCAAGUGUGUGGUUGACAGUAGUGUGGCAAUCUACAAAGGUUUUUUUUUGGGAGCCUACAGAGGGGAGGGGAAUCAACUCUUUGAAAGGGUAGAUAACUGUAGGACAAGGGGAAAUGGUUUUAAGUUGAGGGAGGGAAGAUUUAGGUUGGAUGUCAGGGGGAAGUUCUUUACAGAGAGAGUGGUGAGGUGCUGGAACAGCUGCCCAGAGGUUGUGGAUGCCCCAUCCCUGGAAGUGUUCAAGGCCAGACUGGAUGGGGCCCUGUGCGGCCUGGUCUAGCAUUAAAUGAGGAGAUUGGUGGCCCUGCGUGUGGCAAGGGGGAUGGAAAUUCAUGAUCCUUGAGGCCCCUUCCAACCCUGGCCAUUCUGUGAUUCUGUGAUUCUGUGAUUCUGUGAUUCAUCUUCACCUGCCGAUGUGCCAGAUCAACAGUUACAGUACAUACAGCGCACACUAAGACCGCCUACACUGUUUCAGACAGGUUUCUCUCUCAACAAGGAGUUGGCAAACAACAGAGCAUCCACAGGGAGUAACUUCCCCAAAUGUGCCCCUCCUAUGUAGUAGUUGGCCAUGGGAGCCACUUGUACUGCUGCUAUUGAGAGCUGAGAAACAAAGCCACCAUCUCCUUCAUGAUAGUUGCUAUCGCCUGACUGAGACAUUAGGGACAAGUGUGAGUGCCAGAAAUGCCUGACCCCAAGGUUCCUAGCUCUGAAAUCCCCCAUUGGAAAUCUACUCUGACCACUGCAGGACAAGUUUCCUGGCAGCAGCCCUCCCGAUCUGGACCAAUGUGGGAUGCUGUCAUUUUGAGAGAGGCUUGCUCCAAAGACAUCACUAUUGCUGGGGAGGAAAAGCUACCUCAUCCUCAGGGUCAUUCUGCUGAUGAUGAU